CUAGGAUUCCUUUGUAAGGCGCAGCAAAAAAGACAAUCAGAUACAAUAUCAGGGAUCUUCUGGUAAGGCUUCUGGCUACCAUUAGUUCUGAAUACUGAGGAUUUGAGGAGAAAAAUGGCUGUGAGUUUUGAAAUGUCUUUGAGAAUUACUUGGAUUUGUUGCCUGCUAAUUGGAGGGAUAACCUGUUAUCCUCCACCUAAAGGUAAUUAUAGAUAUAUUCCCCAAAAUCAAUUAAAAGGAAUUGGCCACAAUGCAGCGGUAGCUACCGGAUCCCGUGCCUCGGCAGGUGAAGCAGCCACCAGUAAUGCCACUGCAAGCGUCACGACUGGCCCAAAUACCUUAGGUGAAGCAACUGGCCACAAUGCUUCAUCAAGCGCCACGACUGGCCCAAAUGCCUUAGGUGAAGCAACUGGCCAUGGUGCCUCGGUAGUGGAAGCAACUGGACACAGUGCCAUGCCAGCGGCCACCCAUAAUGCCUCGGAAGCGGCCACCCACAAUGCUUCAUCAAGCGUAACGACUGGCCUAAAUACCUUAGCUGAAGCAACUGGCCACAAUGCUUCAUCAAGCGCCACGACUGGCCCAAAUACCUUAGCUGAAGCAACUGGCCACAAUGCUUCAUCAAGCACCACGACUGGCCCAAAUGCCUUAGGUGAAGCAACUGGCCAUGGUGCCUCUGUAGUGGAAGCAACUGGACACAGUGCCAUACCAGCGGCCACCCAUAAUGCCUCGGAAGCGGCCACCCACAAUGCUUCAUCAAGCGUAACGACUGGCCUAAAUACCUUAGCUGAAGCAACUGGCCACAAUGCUUCAUCAAGCACCACGACUGGCCCAAAUGCCUUAGGUGAAGCAACUGGCCAUGGUGCCUCUGUAGUGGAAGCAACUGGACACAGUGCCAUACCAGCGGCCACCCAUAAUGCCUCGGAAGCGGCCACCCACAAUGCUUCAUCAAGCGUAACGACUGGCCUAAAUACCUUAGCUGAAGCAACUGGCCACAAUGCUUCAUCAAGCGCCACGACUGGCCCAAAUGCCUUAGGUCAAGCAGCUGGCUAUAGUGCCUCGGCAGCGGAAGCAACUGGCCACAGUGCCGCGGAAGCGGCCACCCAUAAUGCCUCGGCAAGUGUGGCAACUGGCCCAAAUACCUUAGGUGAAGCAACUGGCCACAAUGCUUCAAGCGCCACGACUGGCCCAAAUGCCUUAGGUGAAGCAACUGGCCAUGGUGCCUCGGUAGUGGAAGCAACUGGACACAGUGCCAUGCCAGCGGCCACCCAUAAUGCCUCGGAAGCGGCCACCCACAAUGCUUCAUCAAGCGUAACGACUGGCCUAAAUACCUUAGCUGAAGCAACUGGCCACAAUGCUUCAUCAAGCGCCACGACUGGCCCAAAUGCCUUAGGUGAAGCAACUGGCCAUGGUGCCUCGGUAGUGGAAGCAACUGGACACAGUGCCAUGCCAGCGGCCACCCAUAAUGCCUCGGAAGCGGCCACCCACAAUGCUUCAUCAAGCGUAACGACUGGC